UUGGCAGGAGGAUAUGGGCGUGACCGAGGUCGGCGUGCGGCGGGGUCUGCGGGGAGGGGGCGGUUGGGAGGUAGGUAGGUCGGUCGGACGCGAGGUGCCCCUGCCGCUGUUGCUGCCUCCUCCGCUGCCGCUGCUGGCCGUGCACCUGAGAGCGGGCUUUGCCUUAGCCUCCGCCGGCGCUAUGAACCGCUUUAAGGUGUCUAAAUUCCGGCAUACCGAGGCCCGGCCGCCCCGGAGGGAGGCCUGGAUCAAUGACAUUCGAGCAGGAACAGCUUCAUCCUAUGGGAAUCACAUCAAGUCGAGCUGUAGCUUGAUCGCGUUUAACACUGAUCGACCAGGCACUCUGGGCAUUGUGCCCCUGGACUGUCAAGGCAAGAACAAGAGGAAUGUGGCAUCCCUGGGUUGCCAUUCAGAUCUGGUGACUGAUUUUGAUUUCUCUCCAUUUGAUGACCAUCUCCUUGCCACAGGCUCAGCAGACAAAAUGAUAAAGCUGUGGCGGCUGCCCACUGCCACUGCCAACCAGGACUUGCCCUCUGCUCCUGGGGUGGUUUUGGGCCCUGAGGACUUCCAGGUGGAUGUUCUUAAGUUUCACCCCACUUCAGACACCGUGCUGGUGAGCGCCUCCAACAAGGCUGUGAAAGUCUGGGAUUUAGCCCUGCAGCAUACCCUCACUGAGAUGGCUACCCACGGUGACCAGGUUCAAAGCGUGGCCUGGAGCUCUGAUGGUGUUCUCCUGGGUACAUCUUGCAAGGACAAGCAGCUGCGAAUCUUUGAUCCCAGAAGGAAGCCCGCUGCCUCCCAGAGCACCCAGGGCCACGAGAACCACAAGGACAGCCGACUGGUCUGGACCAACUCCCAGGAGCAUCUGCUGUCUACUGGAUUAAAUCAGAUGCGAGAGCAUGAAGUAAAGCUGUGGGACACUCGCUGCUUCUCCAGUGCCCUCACCUCCUUCACCCUCAACACCUCCCCCGGAUCUCUGAUCCCAUUGCUGGAUGCUGACUCUGGGCUCCUCAUCCUAGGUGGAAAGGGUGAGAAUCUGAUAUACUGCUGUGAAGUAUCGCCGCAGCAGGCCACCCUGAGCCAAGUGAACCAGUGUGUCCUGGAGACCAAGUGCCGGGGAAUGGCCUUGGUGCCGCGUCGGGCGCUGGCUGUGCUGGCCUGUGAAGUGCUUCGGGUGCUGCAGCUCAGUGAGAGUGCCAUUGUGCCCGUCAGCUAUGUGGUGCCCCGAAAGUCUGUAGAAUUCCACGAAGACUUGUUUUCUGAUGCUUUGGGGAGUGUCCCUGCCGCCAAUGGGCAGGCCUGGUGGGCCGGAGACAACCGGCAGGUCCAGAGGGUCAGUCUGAAUCCUGCCCACCGGCCUCAUGCGAGCUUCACCUCCUGCCUGGUGCCCACCGAACUCGCUUCUCCUGCUGCUGCCCAGCUUCAGGAGGUGCCAGCCAGUGACCCAGACCCAAGUGAGGGCAGCUUUUCCUCUCCACCCAGCUCUCUCACCUCACCCUCCACCCCCUCCAGCCUGGGCCGCUCGCUCUCUAGCACCAGUGGCAUUGGCACCAGCUCCUCCCAGAGGUCGCUGCAGAGCCUCCUGGGCCCCAGCUCCAAGUUCCGACAUGCCCAGGGUACUGUUCUACACCGUGAUACCCACAUCACCAACCUCAAAGGACUCAAUCUUACCACCCCUGGGGAGAGCGACGGGUUCUGUGCCAACCGCCUUCACGUGGCUGUGCCCCUUCUGAGCACAGGCGGCCAGGUGGCUGUUCUGGAGCUGCAGAAACCCGGCCGCCUGCCUGAUACUGCACUGCCCACGCUACAGAACGGGGUGCCUGUCACUGAUCUCACCUGGGAUCCAUUUGACCUGUACCGCCUUGCUGUGGCUGGGGAAGACGCCCGGAUCCGGCUAUGGCGGGUGCCGCCUGAAGGGCUGCAGGAGGUCCUGACAACGCCCGAGGCCGUGCUAACAGGCCACACAGAGAAGAUCUACUCCCUGCGCUUCCACCCACUGGCGUCCGACGUGCUGGCCUCCUCUUCCUAUGACAUGAGUGUGCGGGUCUGGGACAUCCGGGAAGGAAUGGAGAAGAUAAGGCUGCAGGGUCACAGGGACCAGAUCUUCAGCAUGGCCUGGAGCCCCGAUGGACAGUUCUUGGCAACAGUGUGCAAAGAUGGGAAGGUGCGGAUCUUCGAUCCCCGGCGUAGCCCAGAGCCUAUCCAGGAAGGCCCUGGCCCCGAGGGAGGUCGAGGAGCUCGUGUGGUCUGGGUGUGCGAUGGCCGGUGUCUGCUGGUGUCUGGCUUUGACAGCCGGAGUGAGCGCCAGCUGCUCCUGUACGGGGCAGAGUCAUUGGCCGGGGGCCCUGUGGCCGUGCUGGGCCUCGAUGUGGCCCCUUCCACCCUGCUGCCCCACUAUGACCCAGACACUGGUCUCGUUCUCCUCACGGGCAAGGGCGACACACGAGUAUUUGUGUAUGAAUUACUCCCUGAGGUCCCCUUCUUCUUGGAGUGCAACAGCUUCACCUCACCCGACCCCCAUAAGGGCUUUGCCUUCUUGCCCAAGACGGAAUGUGAGGUACAACAAGUGGAGUUCGCCCGGGGCCUCCGACUCCGCCAGACUUCCCUAGAACCGGUUGCCUUCCGACUUCCCAGGGUCAGGAAAGAGUUCUUCCAGGAUGACGUGUACCCAGAGACGGCCGUGUGCUGGGAGCCUGCACUCAGUGCCGCUGCCUGGCUGGGGGGUGCCAAUGGGCAGCACCGCCGACUCAACCUCCAGCCCCCAGGAAUGACCCCAGUGAGUGAGGCCCCCCGAGAAGCUCCCACACGUCGGACCUUGCCCUCAUCUGUCUACCUUGAAGAGAAAUCAGAUGAGCAGAAGAAAGAAGAGGUGGGAUUGAUAUAGGAAAACAAAACUGGGCAUCAGUGAGAAACAGAAGACCCCACAAAUGAUUCCCAUAGAAACAAAAUAUGAGUCAAAGCCAGCUGCUAAGUGCCAUGGUGGCAAAACUGGGUAACCGGGAGGACCCCCUCCCCCAGGAUUCCUUUGAGGGAGUGGACGAGGAUGAAUGGGACUAGUCCACUUUAUCAGCCACACUCACAGCUGCCUCUCCUCUGGAGCUACCUGGCCAAUGACCCCUUGCAACUCUUAGCCUCAUUCUUGAGCUGGAAGAUGCCUUUCCAGGCCUUGGUGUUGCUGCUGACCUAUGGAGGGACUCCACAGCUGAUGUGACCCCAUCUCUUCACCCCAGGAAUCCCCAGACUAAGAUCUUUGGGAUCUUAGUGUUUUCAACAAGCAGCUCCUCCAAGUCUAUAUGUCUCCGAAGUAUCCUGGCUCCAGCUUUCUCUGAGGGCUCAAAGUCCUCUGGGAUAGGCUGUCGUGUGAACACUCCAAGUGGGGCUUUAAUUGGCCCUGUCCUAUUUUUCUCUCUGGGAUCAGUUUUCUUCUAUACAUCGUGGUCAGAAGCUGAGGAAAGAACAUUGGUCAGCACUGCCCCGGGCCUGCUACCUGGCUGUCCUUACUAUACAUGGUCCCACUCACUUUGUAAUUAAUAGAUUACUGCCUUGCUUACUUCUUCCAGAAACAACGGUUUCCCCUCCAGCUACUCUACUGUUCUUUGUACCUUAUGGGUUAAGCCUUACCUCCUGCUUUUAUCUUUCCUUAUUGCCUUUUGUCCCUGUUGUCUUCUUCUGUUACAGUCAAAAUCAUCAAAGGGGCUGGAUCCCCCUGCAGUCACCAAUCCUACUGGACCUCCUAUUCACUCUCUCCCUCCCAACCUGAAACAGUAAGAAAAGGGUGAGGAUUAGGGCCUAGAGAACUUUAAAAAAAAAAAGGGGGGGAAAAAGAAUGUGAAUCCCACCAGUGAGGAGUUUUAUGAAUUUAUCAAUGCCUCAGCCAUUAAAUUUUUCUAAGCAAAA